GUGUGUUGUUGGUGGAGUAAACAUGGCGGCGUGUGUUGCGUGUGGGGUAAUCGCGGCGACGUGCGUCGCGUGUAGGGUAGUCCCGGCGACGUGCGUCGCGUGUGGGGUAGUCCCGACCACGUACGUCACGUCUCUCACGCGAUCGGUUGCCGUAGCGACGCGUGUCGCUGCGGAGGCGCGCCCGCUCGUCCUCCUCCUCUGCAGGAUAGCCACGCAGCACCUCCGCGUAGCUCCUACGAGGCGGUUGUUGACGAUGGUCCGCAAAAUGAUAAUCUCCAUCAUCAUAGCGGCCGUAUUGUUGUUGAGGACGAGGGGGCGGAGUCAUCUCGCGCCGCGAUCGCUGUUUACGUCCGCGAGGACGGACGAGGACCCAUUCCUCGUCAUGCCACGCCGCCAUUUUUCGACAACCGACAAUGAUAUAUAAUAUAAAAUAGGUUUUGUGUGUAAAAAUAUAAUAGGAAUGAAGGUAGGUAGGUAGAAAGAAAAAAUAAAUCGAUAGAAAAGAAAUGAAAUAGAAAGACUCCGGCGCGCUUCAGUGACGUCACGUCAGCGCAAACCGGAUGUCCUUCGAAAAAAACCACAGAAGAAGAAGACCAGCUUCUUCGAAGGAAAAAUAAUAAUAUAAAGAAAAUAAACAACUAAGGGCGGUUCUAUGAAGAACGAUGGAAUACUCCAAGGUCGUUGGAGUACAGGGACAUCCGGAGCACUCCCUGCGCCGGGUACGUCCGUGUAGCUAGGUCCAUGACCCUGUAACCAAGGUAAGUAUUUUAGUAUUGUUUCUGUGUCUUUUUGCCGUCGUUGGAGUAAAGGACCACGUCCGUUACCCAAGGUGAGAGACAUGACAAUGAAGGUAAGUAUUUUUGAUGUUGUUGUCCUAUGUUCCUUCUUUGAUUUUGUUAUUGUUUUUUACAGGUACUCGUGGGAAGACCAGGACCUCCGGGGCAUCCCCUACGCCAGAGACGUCCGGAUUCCCAGGUAAGUAGUGAGGUAAGUAUUAUUACCAGAAAUGAUGUGUAUAUUGGUGCGGAUGAGAGGUGGAACCAGGAGGGUCCCCAAUGGGCGGAGCGCGAGCCGUGUGUGGACCAGAGGCACAGGCGGGUUAGGGUUGGGGUUGGGGUUGGGGUUAGGGUUAGAGUUAGGAGUUAGGGUUAGGUAUAAAGAGAAGGAGAGAUGGGUAGGUGUUAGGUGUAAAGAAAAGAGAGAUGGGUAGGUUUUAGGAGUGAAAAAGGAGAGUGGUUAGGGUUAGGGUAAGGGGUGGGGGAAGGGCGAUAAAAGAGUGUAAAAAAAGAAUAUAAGAGGGGUGUGCACGGUCCGUCUAUGGCCCAGCGGGCUCGCACUCACGCCUCAUUGAGGCCCCCCGGAUGCUCAGUCCCCAAUUUGACAAUCCAGAGGCGUUCCGCCCGCCUGCGUUGGGCGGUACUCCAUCUGGAGUUGCUCUGGAUGACGCAUGCUCGGACAGAAGCCCACCCGUGCUGGAUAAAAUGUUGCACCAGGUGGGUGGUGGUGUUCUUCUGCCGAGUGAUGUUAUGUUUAUGCUGGUGAAAACGGGUGGCGAUGGUGUUACCCGUUUCACCCACAUACAUAAUAUGGCAUCGCUGGCAGAGGAUGACAUACACGCAGUUUUGGGUGUGAGCGUCACCCCUGCACAGCGGCCGGAAGAUCUUGCCGUUCUGGCGGUUGAGCAGCCAAGGGAUGUGCCGCACGGGGGCACUGCUCCGGCUCGGGGGUGGAUCUCUAGGAGAGGAGAUCCGUGCCCUAACCAACAAAUCACCCAGGUUGGGAUUUUUACGGUAGGCAGAAACCAAGUAGUGGUCCUGAAGUCUGCCGCUAGUUUCCACGAAGGCCUUAAAAUUGUCCUUAAUGUUUUUGGCCACCUGUACCGCCGCAGGUGAAAAGGUCGUGAUUAGUGGGAUCAUGGAUUGACCAGGGGGAGGCUUCUUCGGGUCCAGGAAGCACCUGUGCUGCUCCCUGAGGAAUGACCUAGAAUAUCCCCUCUUCCUCAGGGCAGCGAACAGGACCCCCAUGGCCGUAACAAAGUCCUCCCGCCUGGUGCAGAUCCGGUGAAAUCUCAGUAACUGAGACUUGACCAAACCCGCAUAGGUGUGGCGGGGGUGGAAGCUCCUUUUAUGGAGGAGAGCAUGGGUGUCAGUCUGUUUGAAAAAUACUUUGAUGUCUAGAUGGUGUGUGGCGGCAAAGUCGGGGCCCUUGAAGGUGGUUGUGUCCAGGAAGUCCACAGACGUAGGGCUAGUGGUGGAUUUGAUGGUGAUACUGGGGUUGUGAGUGUUCAAGGUGUGGAGGAACACCUCAAACUCCUGCAUGGAGUGGGUCCACACCCCCCAGAUAUCAUCUAAGUAGCGGAAAUAAUGUAGGGGCUUGAUACUGCAGGCAGCGAGGGCGGAAGUCUCCCAUUCGGCCAUGAAGAUGUUCGCGUAGGCUGGGGCAAACUUCUUCCCCAUGGCCGUGCCCUUGAUUUGUAGGUAAAAACGGCCGUAAAAUUCAAAGUCAUUUCUUCUGAGGUUAAUAUCGAGAAGCUGCAGGAGUUCUUUCUCGGGCCUGCUAACAUCCCGAUAUUUGUGAAAAAUAUUUUUUACGGCUUGGAUGCCUUGGUCGAUGUCUAUGUUGGUGUAUAAGCUGUCUAUGUCAAUGGUGAAUAGAGUGGCAUCUUGGGGAAUAACUAGGUUUUUGAUUUUUUCGAUGAAGUCGUAUGUGUCCUUAAGGUAGCUGUCAUGUCGGGUAGAGAGCGGGGUAAGAUAGAAGUCAAUAUAUUCUGCCGUUCUGUAAGUCUCGCUGCCGCAGUCGGAAACAAUCGGCCUGCCUGGGGGAAUUUCAUGGGGUCGGCUCCACUUGUGUGGCUCUUUGUGUAUUUUGGGGAGCAGGUAAAACCUGCGGGGCCGGGGGUCCGCUUCGCCCAAAAGGUAAGUCUUUUGUUUGUCGUUAAUAAAUCGUUUUUUAAGCAAAUUUUUGAUAAUGUGGUCUGUCAUGGGAAUAGUUUGGGGGUAAAUGGGUGUGGUCAAAGGUAAGUAAUAAGUCGUGUCGUUCAACUGUCUGGUGCCCUCCCAGACAUAUUGAGACCUAUCCAUAAUCACCACUGCGCUUCCCUUGUCUGCCGGUUUUAUGACAAUGUCUUUAUUGUUUUUGAGGCUGUGGAGGGCCUCAGUUUCGUCCCGGGUGAGGUUGGGCGCCACCGUGAGGGCGCAACCCGACAGGAGCGAUGGGUGUUGAUCCGCCCGGACCAGCAUGUGGACCUCCGGAGGUAGCAAACCCGGUGAGGGCUCCCAUUCGGACCUCGAGGUCGUAUUUGACUUGAUGGUGCCACUCGGGACUGAGGUUGACGGACGGGACAAAAGUGAGGCCUUUGUCGAGGAGGGAGCGCUGCGAGGAGGUGAGUAUAAAGUGUUUUGAUAAGUUUACGAUGUUAUUGUUGGUGGUGGUGUUGUUGUUGUUGUUGUUGUUGUUGUUGUUGUUUGUGUUUCCCCCCCGACAGGUCGGGUUUUUGGGGACGCCAAGUUUAAAUGGUGCAGCCAGUGCUUCAGCAUGUGCUUGGCAGUCUCCUCAGUCCAGUGCAGGUUAUCCCUUCCUGUAGCAAACUCAUCAUGGGGCUUCCGAGAAAUUAAUCAGGGGGAUAAAGAUUUCGGCGUUGGGGAAGACCGUUUUGGCCACCUUGAGGGCCCUUUGAAUUUGCUUAAAGGAUGGCCUCUGCAUGCCGAAAGUUGGCGCCUGGGUAGCUGUCCAUCUGAAGGUCCUGGAGACGGACAGGUGGAAGACGACUGAUGUUGGAGUCACCAAUCACCAGGACCUUCUUGUCGACAGACAGGCCGAAGUGCCGGUUCUAGGCCCUUUCCGGAUUCCCGAAAAAAAUUGGGACCAGCUGGGACCCGCUUCAGGAACCGGAGUACGUGGAGGAGGAGUGUCCACGAGGGGCACGUCCGGAAGAGGCGCGUCCGGGAGGGGCGCGUCCAGGAGGGAGGCCGUCGGUGAGGGUGGUCCCGGUGGGCCAGAACUAAGUUGAGACCAACUAGGAGGCGUGUCAGGGGGCAGCUGGGACCACCCUGGAGGCACCUGAGGGGAUGACGCCGGCUGCUCAGAUGGCGGUGGCGCGUCCGAGACCGCAGGAGGGACCCUGACUUCGGUCUCGACCCGCGAAUGCGGCCCGGGUGGCGGGACCAGGGGAGCCUCGACAAUGGAAUUGUCGGGAGGACUGCUGCAGGGCUCCUGGGGUCGUGCCAUUCUCUGGGGCCUGGAUGGUGCUGUGGCCAGAGAAGAAGGUGACAAAACCGGGAAGGGGACCGGGGUGACAGGUCCCCUAGGACCCGGAACCGGUUCCACCACCGGGGACCAGUCCCCGACCACCGGAUCGGUCAUGGUGGACGCCGUGGCGCGCGCAGGAGCGUGCAGGGUUGGAACCGCCAGCGGCAUGGUGGACACCGUGGCGCGCGCAGGAGCGUGCAGGGUUUGAACCGGCAGGGUUGGACCCGGCAGGGGCCGCAAGGGUUGCACCGGGGGGUGCACUGCAUCCACCACCAUUCGGGUGCUGGACGGGUCCAAGCGGACUGGUGACCCCGUCUGCUGCGAUCGUGCGGGACUCCCCCCCUCGUCCACGGCACGAGCGUCGACACAGAUCGAGAUCACCAGACCCUCGGCCAGCCGAAGUGUCUCGGCGGUCAAUCUGCGUCCCAGGUGUGUCCUGGCCCACGCCGAGGCCACCUGGAACGGGUCCUGCCAGUUUUGUCCAAUAAAGACACUCAAUUUACUAA